rnacentral:tRNA from 1 species
GGCAACGUGGCCGAGUGGACUAAGGCGCCGUGUUUAGGCCGCGGUCCGUAUGGGCGUGGGUUCGAAUCCCACCGUUGUCA